GUAGGUGGCAAGCGUUGUCCGGAAUUAUUGGGCGUAAAGCGCGCGCAGGCGGUUCUUUAAGUCUGAUGUGAAAGCCCACGGCUCAACCGUGGAGGGUCAUUGGAAACUGGAGAACUUGAGUACAGAAGAGGAAAGCGGAAUUCCACGUGUAGCGGUGAAAUGCGUAGAGAUGUGGAGGAACACCAGUGGCGAAGGCGGCUUUCCGGUCUGUAACUGACGCUGAGGCGCGAAAGCGUGGGGAGCAAACAGGGAUUAGAUACCCUGGUAGUCCACGCCGUAAACGACGAGUGCUAAGUGUUAGGGGGUUUCCCGCCCCCUUAGUGCUGCAGCUAACGCAUUAAGCACUCCGCCUGGGGAGUACGGCCGCAAGGCUG
rnacentral:rRNA from 1 species